UACGAAGGGGGCUAGCGUUGUUCGGAAUUACUGGGCGUAAAGGGCGCGUAGGCGGUGUGUCAAGUCAGGCGUGAAAGCCCCGGGCUCAACCUGGGAACCGCGCUUGAGACUGGCAUGCUCGAGUUCGGGAGAGGAUGGUGGAAUUCCCAGUGUAGAGGUGAAAUUCGUAGAUAUUGGGAAGAACACCGAUGGCGAAGGCAGCCAUCUGGACCGACACUGACGCUGAGGCGCGAAAGCGUGGGGAGCAAACAGG
rnacentral:rRNA from 1 species